CCUGGCGGCAACAGCGCGGUGGUCCCACCUGACCCCAUGCCGAACUCAGAAGUGAAACGCCGUAGCGCCGAUGGUAGUGUGGGGCCUCCCCAUGCGAGAGUAGGGAACUGC
rnacentral:rRNA from 1 species